UACGUAGGGUGCGAGCGUUAAUCGGAAUUACUGGGCGUAAAGCGUGCGCAGGCGGUGAUGUAAGACAGAUGUGAAAUCCCCGGGCUCAACCUGGGACCUGCAUUUGUGACUGCAUCGCUAGAGUACGGCAGAGGGGGAUGGAAUUCCGCGUGUAGCAGUGAAAUGCGUAGAUAUGCGGAGGAACACCGAUGGCGAAGGCAAUCCCCUGGGCCUGCACUGACGCUCAUGCACGAAAGCGUGGGGAGCAAACAGGA
rnacentral:rRNA from 1 species